AUGACUUGCACGCAGCACACCCAAAAAAGGGGGCGCCUGACUCAUGCGGCGGCAGAGGCUACGAUGCCUGACUGGACGUCACUUCCAUAUGACAACGUCUGCAACAUCGGCGAAUGCUUGCUGUCCAACAACGACAUCGACAACUACAUGGCCUUACGCGCUGUCUGCCAUGACUGGCGCUCCGCCACAAAGGACUACCCCGAGAAGGGGGACUACACCGACCCUCACUACUUCAAGCCUAGUAAAUGGGCAUUGCUCGAUCUAUGCGAUGACCUUAUCACACUGGUGAACAUCGACACUGGUCGAUUCCUCCAUAAGAGCAUGCCGCUACUCCGCGGUUUUUUCUUCGUCGGCGCCACAUGCGGCGGCCUCAUCCUACUUGGGGAAUCAACGAAGCCCCACCAGGCCUGUGUUCUCAACCCGUUCACGGGCUCAAUCGUGCAUUUGAAGGCGAGCAUACCUGAUGUAGGGGUAAGGGCGGUUGCCAUGACAACAAAACCAUUGAUGGUCUUCGUCUCCACCAAGAAUUGCGACAUCUUGUGGGCAGAUCAAAACAACAAGUACUUCGAGCAAUUUUGGACCAAUUAUCCUUACAAACCUACAUGCAUGGUGUCCUUCGCAGAAAAUGUGUAUGUCACUGAUCUGUGCGGAUCAAUCCACUCGCUCACAGUUGCUGAUGUCGUUGUUGGGGAACAAAGGCACAAGUGCUCAGCACUGACAAUCUCGAUGGAAACCAUCUUCCCUAGUAUUGGAGACACAAGCCACCAAGGACUAACAGAGGGCGGCAGAUAUUAUCUUAUGAAGUCUGGGGAAGAUCUGCUUCUUGUGGCCAAACCGUUAUACUUUACUCUCGAUCAACCAGUUGUUCGUAGAGUGGAUAUCGAGAAGAAGGUGCUUGAGCCAGUCAGUACCAUCGGCAAGCGUGCUCUAUUCGUCAGCCAUGCAAAGGGCCUCUCCGUCAACGCUGACAAGUUUCAGGGCAUCCUUGGUGGAUGCAUUCACUUUAUAGAGCCAAUGCUAACUCGAGGGAACUUUGAGCCUUCAAAAGUGACGAUUUUUCAUGUUGCUGAUAGGCGCAUCAUGGUUGAAUGGGAUGCCCUAGAAGGUUGCUUCCGUCCAUUCACCCUCGCCCAAGUGUUCACAGAUUACUGCAGGCCCAUUCAUUAUUCUGAACUAUACCAUAUGAUGGCCAACGAGUGGGGUUACUCAGAUGAUGGAUUUGAAUCCGACGAAGACUCGUCCUCUCAACUUGAUGAUGAAUCAUCCUCCUCUGAACUUGGUGAUGAAUCAUCCUCCAACGAACCUAACGACUAA
rnacentral:rRNA from 1 species